rnacentral:lncRNA from 1 species
GUUCUACUCCAUAUUCUCUUCAGUUUUAGGAGACACAUUUCAUACAUGAAACUGCCGCUUGCCAGAAGCUCAGUGUCACUUGCAACAAGGAAAUGGUGAUGGACUAAGCCAGUGUCCUCUCUGAGAUGCAAAGGGGCAAUCAGGAGCAGCCUAACCUAGAGAAGAAAAGAACAAGGGGAUGAUCAUCCAUCAGGAGCUGAUGGAGAGCCAUGGAAGGGAAUGAGCAGCCCCUUGGAAUUAGAUGCAUAAUGGAUUUCCAGUAAAUGAGCUGUUUCCAAUUUGAUUAUUUUCCUUCCUUGAGUGUUUUAUGUCUGCUGGAUCUGACAAAUGCACCCACCUACAACACAGC